GAUGAACGCUGGCGGCGUGCUUAACACAUGCAAGUCGAACGAUGAAGCCCAGCUUGCUGGGUGGAUUAGUGGCGAACGGGUGAGUAACACGUGAGUAACCUGCCCUUAACUCUGGGAUAAGCCUGGGAAACUGGGUCUAAUACCGGAUAGGAGCGUCCACCGCAUGGUGGGUGUUGGAAAGAUUUAUCGGUUUUGGAUGGACUCGCGGCCUAUCAGCUUGUUGGUGAGGGAAUGGCUCACCAAGGCGACGACGGGUAGCCGGCCUGGGAGGGUGACCGGCCACACUGGGACUGAGACACGGCCCAGACUCCUACGGGAGGCAGCAGUGGGGAAUAUUGCACAAUGGGCGCAAGCCUGAUGCAGCGACGCCGCGUGAGGGAUGACGGCCUUCGGGUUGUAAACCUCUUUCAGUAGGGAAGAAGCGAAAGUGACGGUACCUGCAGAAGAAGCACCGGCUAACUACGU
rnacentral:rRNA from 1 species